UUGAACGCUGCGGCAGGCCUAACACAUGCAAGUCGAGCGGUAGCACAGAGAGCUUGCUCUCGGGUGACGAGCGGCGGACGGGUGAGUAAUGUCUGGGAAACUGCCUGAUGGAGGGGGAUAACUACUGGAAACGGUAGCUAAUACCGCAUAACGUCGCAAGACCAAAGUGGGGGACCUUCGGGCCUCAUGCCAUCAGAUGUGCCCAGAUGGGAUUAGCUAGUAGGUGGGGUAACGGCUCACCUAGGCGACGAUCCCUAGCUGGUCUGAGAGGAUGACCAGCCACACUGGAACUGAGACACGGUCCAGACUCCUACGGGAGGCAGCAGUGGGGAAUAUUGCACAAUGGGCGCAAGCCUGAUGCAGCCAUGCCGCGUGUAUGAAGAAGGCCUUCGGGUUGUAAAGUACUUUCAGCGAGGAGGAAGGCGAUAAGGUUAAUAACCUUGUCGAUUGACGUUACUCGCAGAAGAAGCACCGGCUAACUCCGUG
rnacentral:rRNA from 1 species